rnacentral:rRNA from 1 species
GGCGUGCCUAAUACAUGCAGUCGAGCGGACAGAUGGGAGCUUGCUCCCUGAUGUUAGCGGCGGACGGGUGAGUAACACGUGGGUAACCUGCCUGUAAGACUGGGAUAACUCCGGGAAACCGGGGCUAAUACCGGAUGGUUGUCUGAACCGCAUGGUUCAGACAUAAAAGGUGGCUUCGGCUACCACUUACAGAUGGACCCGCGGCGCAUUAGCUAGUUGGUGAGGUAACGGCUCACCAAGGCGACGAUGCGUAGCCGACCUGAGAGGGUGAUCGGCCACACUGGGACUGAGACACGGCCCAGACUCCUACGGGAGGCAGCAGUAGGGAAUCUUCCGCAAUGGACGAAAGUCUGACGGAGCAACGCCGCGUGAGUGAUGAAGGUUUUCGGAUCGUAAAGCUCUGUUGUUAGGGAAGAACAAGUGCCGUUCAAAUAGGGCGGCACCUUGACGGUACCUAACCAGAAAGCCACGGCUAACUACGUGCCAGCAGCCGCGGUAAUACGUAGGUGGCAAGCGUUGUCCGGAAUUAUUGGGCGUAAAGGGCUCGCAGGCGGUUUCUUAAGUCUGAUGUGAAAGCCCCCGGCUCAACCGGGGAGGGUCAUUGGAAACUGGGGAACUUGAGUGCAGAAGAGGAGAGUGGAAUUCCACGUGUAGCGGUGAAAUGCGUAGAGAUGUGGAGGAACACCAGUGGCGAAGGCGACUCUCUGGUCUGUAACUGACGCUGAGGAGCGAAAGCGUGGGGAGCGAACAGGAUUAGAUACCCUGGUAGUCCACGCCGUAAACGAUGAGUGCUAAGUGUU